rnacentral:rRNA from 1 species
AGCUACCUUCGGGUAGUGGACAGCGGCGCACGGGUGAGUAACGCGUACACAAUCUACCUUAUAGAGGAGAAUAGCCCUGGGAAACUGGGAUUAAUGCUCCAUAGUAUUACACUUUGGCAUCAAGGUGUAAUUAAAGCUCCGGCGCUAUAAGAUGAGUGUGCGUACUAUUAGCUAGUUGGUAAGGUAACGGCUUACCAAGGCUACGAUAGUUAGGGGGCGUGAGAGCGUGACCCCCCACACGGGUACUGAGACACGGACCCGACUCCUACGGGAGGCAGCAGUAAGGAAUAUUGGACAAUGGGCGCAAGCCUGAUCCAGCCAUCCCGCGUGGAGGAUGACUGCCCUAUGGGUUGUAAACUCCUUUUAUUUGAGAAGAAACGCCUGGAUUUAUCCGGGCCUGACGGUAUCUUAUGAAUAAGCACCGGCUAACUCCGUGCCAGCAGCCGCGGUAAUACGGAGGGUGCAAGCGUUAUCCGGAAUCACUGGGUUUAAAGGGUGCGUAGGUGGUUUAGUAAGUCAGAUGUGAAAGCCCGGCGCUCAACGUCGGAAUUGCAUUUGAUACUGCUGAACUUGAAUCAGGUUGAGGUGGGCGGAAUGUGGCAUGUAGCG